AGAGUUUGAUUCUGGCUCAGAACGAACGCUGGCGGCGUGGAUAAGACAUGCAAGUCGAACGGGAGAAUUGCUAGCUUGCUAAUAAUUCUCUAGUGGCGCACGGGUGAGUAACACGUGAGUAACCUGCCUCUUAGUGGGGGAUAGCCCUGGGAAACCGGGAUUAAUACCGCAUACGAUUGAAAGAUCAAAGCAGCAAUGCGCUAGGAGAUGGGCUCGCGGCCUAUUAGUUAGUUGGUGAGGUAACGGCUCACCAAGGCGAUGACGGGUAGCCGGUCUGAGAGGAUGUCCGGCCACACUGGAACUGAGACACGGUCCAGACACCUACGGGUGGCAGCAGUCGAGAAUCAUUCACAAUGGGGGCAACCCUGAUGGUGCGACGCCGCGUGGGGGAAUGAAGGUCUUCGGAUUGUAAACCCCUGUCAUGUGGGAGCAAAUUAAAAAGAUAGUACCACAAGAGGAAGAGACGGCUAACUCUGUGCCAGCAGCCGCGGUAAUACAGAGGUCUCAAGCGUUGUUCGGAAUCACUGGGCGUAAAGCGUGCGUAGGCUGUUUCGUAAGUCGUGUGUGAAAGGCAGGGGCUCAACCCCUGGAUUGCACAUGAUACUGCGAGACUAGAGUAAUGGAGGGGGAACCGGAAUUCUCGGUGUAGCAGUGAAAUGCGUAGAUAUCGAGAGGAACACUCGUGGCGAAGGCGGGUUCCUGGACAUUAACUGACGCUGAGGCACGAAGGCCAGGGGAGCGAAAGGGAUUAGAUACCCCUGUAGUCCUGGCAGUAAACGGUGCACGCUUGGUGUGCGGGGAAUCGACCCCCUGCGUGCCGGAGCUAACGCGUUAAGCGUGCCGCCUGGGGAGUACGGUCGCAAGAUUAAAACUCAAAGAAAUUGACGGGGACCCGCACAAGCGGUGGAGUAUGUGGCUUAAUUCGAUGCAACGCGAAGAACCUUACCUGGGCUUGACAUGUAAUGAACAACAUGUGAAAGCAUGCGACUCUUCGGAGGCGUUACACAGGUGCUGCAUGGCCGUCGUCAGCUCGUGUCGUGAGAUGUUUGGUUAAGUCCAGCAACGAGCGCAACCCCUGUUGCCAGUUACCAUCGAGUAAUGUCGGGGACUCUGGCGAGACUGCCCAGAUCAACUGGGAGGAAGGUGGGGACGACGUCAGGUCAGUAUGGCCCUUAUGCCCAGGGCUGCACACGUACUACAAUGCCCAGUACAGAGGGGGCCGAAGCCGCGAGGCGGAGGAAAUCCUGAAAACUGGGCCCAGUUCGGACUGUAGGCUGCAACCCGCCUACACGAAGCCGGAAUCGCUAGUAAUGGCGCAUCAGCUACGGCGCCGUGAAUACGUUCCCGGGUCUUGUACACACCGCCCGUCACAUCAUGGAAGCCGGUCGCACCCGAAGUAUCUGAAGCCAACCGCAAGGAGGCAGGGUCCUAAGGUGAGACUGGUAACUGGGAUGAAGUCGUAACAAGGUAGCCGUAGGAGAACCU
rnacentral:rRNA from 1 species